rfam:Caenorhabditis elegans chromosome X
CAAUUUUUGUACUACACAAAAGUACUGGUCAUUUAAGUUGAGGCUCAGCACUUUUGUGGUGUGCAAAAAUGGC